GACGAACGCUGGCGGCGUGCCUAAUACAUGCAAGUCGAACGCAGUGGGGACGGGUGAGUAACAAGUGGGUAACCUCCCAUCAGAGGGGAUAACACUUGGAAACAGGUGCUAAACCGAUACUGAUGGAUGGACCCGCGGUGCAUUAGCUAGUUGGUGAGGUAACGGUGCACCAAGGACACGAUGCAUAGGCGCCCUGUGAGUGGGAUCAGCCACACUGGGACUAGAACACGGCCCAGACUCCUACACGAGGCAGCAGAAGGGAAUCAUCUGCGAUUGACGAAAGUCAUACCCAGCAACGCCGCGUGAGUGAAGAAGGUUUUCGGAUCGUAAAACUCUGUUGUUGGAGAAGCGGUAUCUAACCAGAAAGCCACGGCUAACUACGUGCCAGCAGCCGCGGUAAUUC
rnacentral:rRNA from 1 species